rnacentral:rRNA from 1 species
AGAACUCCGAAGUUAAGCGUGCUUGGGCGAGAGUAGUACUAGGAUGGGUGACCUCCUGGGAAGUCCUCGUGUUGCAUUCC